rnacentral:rRNA from 1 species
UUAAGCUUCAAACUGGGAUUAGAUACCCCACUAUUCUUGGGUGUAAACUGAUAUUUUUGUCUACCAGAGUACUAUGAAUAUUUUUAAAUUUAAAACUCAAAGAACUUGGCGGUGUUUUAGACCACUCAGGGGAACCUGUCUCGUAAUCGAUGAUCCACGUUAUACCUGACCUCUUUUUGUUUUCAGCUUGUAUACCGUUGUCGUCAGGUAACUUUUUAGAAACUAGAAGUUAGCUAUAAGAAAAUAAUAAGCUAGAACGUCAAAUCAAGGUGCAGUUUAUAAAGGGGGGAGGAUGGGUUACAAUUAUAUAUUUAUAAUUUACGGAAUACUAGAAGAAUGGAUAGUAUUUAGAAGGAGGACUUGAAAGUAAAUUAGAUUAUAUAAAUAAUUUGAAUAAGGCUCUGAAACGUGUACACACCGCCCGUCACCCUCUGCAGUCAA